rnacentral:rRNA from 1 species
CCUACGGGAGGCAGCAGUGGGGAAUAUUGGGCAAUGGGCGCAAGCCUGACCCAGCAACGCCGCGUGAAGAAAGAAGGCUUUCGGGUUGUAAACUUCUUUUCUCAGGGACGAAGCAAGUGACGGUACCUGAGGAAUAAGCCACGGCUAACUACGUGCCAGCAGCCGCGGUAAUACGUAGGUGGCAAGCGUUAUCCGGAUUUACUGGGUGUAAAGGGCGGGUAGGCGGGGACGCAAGUCAGAUGUGAAAACCACGGGCUCAACCGGUGACCUGCAUUUGAAACUGUGUUUCUUGAGUACUGGAGAGGCAGACGGAAUUCCUAGUGUAGCGGUGAAAUGCGUAGAGAUAAGGAGGAACACCAGUGGCGAAGGCGGUCUGCUGGACAGCAACUGACGCUGAGGUGCGAAAGCGUGGGGAGCAAACAGGAUUAGAUACCCGGGUAGUC